rnacentral:lncRNA from 1 species
AAGCCUAGUUCACCUGGAGGAAGUAUGGUACAGAUGACAGACUAUUUGAGGUUGGAUAUUCCCAAAUUUGAGACUGGUGAUGACCCUUUGGAGUAUCUUAGAACGGUCAAGAUGAUAACUGAUGAGUUGGGAGCCAGUGAGAGUAGAGCCAUUCAGAUGGCAGGGGUCACAUUAAAAUGUAAGAAGGCAAGGGAAUGGUUCAAACAGUAUGUGGACCCGAGGGUAG